ensembl:lncRNA
CUUCACGACCCACGUGGCUUCAAUGUGAGCUCUGCACCCAUCUAUGAGCCACGUGUAUGGCCACAGGCAGCACCCAUGGGUGCCCAUGACCCCCCCCACGAUUCCAGGCCCCACCCAUGGGUGCUCAGCCCCACCCAUGGGUGCUCAGGACCCCCCCACGGCUGCCAGGAACCCCUAUGAGUGUCGCAAACCCCCACCCAUGGGUGUCAACCUCCCCCACGGGUGCCACUGUGCCACUCAUGGGUGCCAGAACCCCCCCACAAGGCUCAGACCCCCCCAGGUAUGCCAACCCCCCCCCCAUGGGUGCCACUACCCCACCUAUGGGUGCCAGGAUCCCCCCAGAGUUUCAACCCCCCCGCACCCAUGGGUGCCAGGACCCCCCCCACGAGUCUCAG